rnacentral:rRNA from 1 species
CCUACGGGUGGCAGCAGUAGGGAAUCUUUCACAAUGGGCGAAAGCCUGAUGGAGCAACGCCGCGUGCAGGAUGAAGGCCUUCGGGUUGUAAACUGCUUUUAUAAGCGAGAAAUAUGAUGGUAACUUAUGAAUAAGGAUCGGCUAACUACGCGCCAGCAGCCGCGGUCAUACGUAGGAUCCGAGCAUUAUCCGGAGUGACUGGGUGUAAAGAGUUGCGUAGGUGGCAUAAUAAGUAGCUAGUGAAAUCUGGUGGCUCAACCAUUCAGACUAUUAGCUAAACUGUUAAGCUCGAGACCGUUAGGGGUAACUGGAAGUUCUAGUGUAGGAGUGAAAUCCGUAGAUAUUAGAAGGAACACCAAUAGCGUAGGCAGGUUGCUGGGACGGUUCUGACACUAAGGCACGAAAGCGUAGGGAGCAAACGGGAUUAGAUACCCCUGUAGUC